AGAAAACUUAGAAGGGUCUUUAAAUGUGUCAGCUCAUUUUGAAGAUAGGCAUAAGUGCUGCCAUUUUAUUACCUUGGCUUUUCAAGUGGUUUUGUUCUUUAUUAGUGGACGAGAAGGAAAAAAGCCCUUAGUAUAUUCAAGCAACCUCCUUAUCAGUCAUAAUUUUUGGAGACAGUUUUCGACAUGUUCUGUGUUUUACUGUGCUAACAAGAGAAAAGACUAGCCAUUAAGUUUAUGUUUCUUUGUUUUUCAGCAAGGUCACAUAUCAGGAAUGAUGCUUGAAGUAUGCUAAUAAACAAUAUAUAAUGGAGGUCAUCAGGGAGUAAGAAAUAUUUUCUAACUAGUUCUAAAGGGAAAUAUAGUUACAAAAGGGAUGAAUGUUAUUUACACAGGACAUGUUGCUCUAUGCGUCACUGUCAAAGGGUCUCACGAACAGCUCCAUGCAGUAAAUCGUCUUCCUUGAUUGUCAGGGUGUGGGAAGCCCUGGCUAGGUUUAGAUUUGGUACACUCAGUCCACUGGUUUCUAAUGAACAACCACUACUGGGUUAUUUAGAUAUGUGCAUUGGAGACAUGCCUGGGCUUUUAGGGUUUGCUAGGUAUAAUGUCCCUUGUUGUAGAAGAAAAUACUAUGUAGAUUAUAACAAAUAAGAAAUACUUACAUUUGUGGCACUUAUCCUUUGUAAUUUCAAGUGAAAUUACACUUAUUUUCAUACUUUAUGUUUUUAUGUCCUAAACAACUUGAGCUUUUCACAAUGUGCUAUAAUUUAUGAUUCAUAUUAACUUAUGACUCCUAUUUCAUAUUAACACCUGUAGCAAAACAUGUUAUAGCACACCAAGUGAAAUAAUAAUCUUUGGGAAUUAUUACAACCAAACAUUACGUGUACACCUUUACAGAUGGAAUUUUCCCACAUUUACAAGUGAACUAUUCCUUAAUUGUUUAUUUCAUCAUAGUAGAUUUCAUUUUUCAAGAUGUUUUUUGAUUGUAGACAGCGUGUAAUGCGAAGGGAUGUAUGUGAUGGUGUGUUCUAUAGAACCCCUCAGUUCUUUCGUCACUGAGUCAACCCUACAUGCACCGAGAGAGAAUCAGUCUUGAGAACAGAAAGUCACACCGCAUGCUUCCUUUGAGAUUUGAGAGACAUUACUUCUUUUCCCGCUUCUGUGUCACAGUGACAUCGAGUGUGUCUGAGUUUGUGUGUGUAUGCCCUAACCCCUAUCAUAAAUACUCUGCUCCAUCUAUUUCACUGGACGGUGGUGUUUUAUCUUGAACAAUUUCCU
rnacentral:lncRNA from 1 species